GACGAACGCUGGCGGCGUGCUUAACACAUGCAAGUCGAACGGAAAGGCCCUGCUUUUGUGGUGUGCUCGAUUGGCGAACGGGUGAGUAACACGUGAGUAACCUGCCCUUGACUUUGGGAUAACUUCAGGAAACUGGGGCUAAUACCGGAUAGGAGCUCCUGCUGCAUGGUGGGGGUUGGAAAGUUUCAGCUGUUGGGGAUGGACUCGCGGCUUAUCAGCUUGUUGGUGGGGUAGUGGCUUACCAAGGCUUUGACGGGUAGCCGGCCUGAGAGGGUGACCGGCCACAUUGGGACUGAGAUACGGCCCAGACUCCUACGGGAGGCAGCAGUGGGGAAUAUUGCACAAUGGGCGGAAGCCUGAUGCAGCAACGCCGCGUGCGGGAUGACGGCCUUCGGGUUGUAAAACGCUUUCGCCUGUGACGAAGCGUGAGUGACGGUAAUGGGUAAAGAAGCACCGGCUAACUACGUG
rnacentral:rRNA from 1 species